UGCUGAAUCAUUCACAAUGGGCGCAAGCCUGAUGAUGCGACGCCGCGUGGAGGACGAAGGCCUUCGGGUUGUAAACUCCUGUCAGGGCUUAGGAACUCUGACCAGGCCCAAAGGAAGCACCGGCUAAAUUCGUGCCAGCAGCCGCGGUAAUACGAAUGGUGCAAGCGUUGUUCGGAAUCACUGGGCAUAAAGGGUGCGUGGGCGGCUUGGCAAGUCGGUUGUGAAAUCCCUCGGCUCAACCGGGGAAUUGCUGCCGAUACUGCCUUGCUAGAGGCUGUGAGGGGUGAGCGGAAUUCCAGGUGUAGCGGUGAAAUGCUCAGAUAUCUGGGAGAACGCCGGAGGCGAAGGCAGCUCACUGGUGCAGUACUGACGCUGAGGCACGAAAGCGUGGGGAGCAAACA
rnacentral:rRNA from 1 species